rnacentral:rRNA from 1 species
AUUGCACGCUGGCGGCAGGCAUAACACAUGCAAGUCGGACGAGUGGAGGACGUGUGAGUAAUGGCUGGGAAACUGCCUGAUGGCGGGGGCUAACUAAUGGAAACGGUAGCUAAUACAGCAUACAAUCAGAUGUGUCCCAAUUGGAUUAGAUAGUUGGUGGGGUAACGUCUCACCAAGUCGACGAUCCCUAGAUGUUCUGAGAGGCGGACCAGCCAAACUGGAAAUGAGACACGGUCCAGACUCCUACGGGAGGCAGUUGUGGGGAAGAUUGCACAAUGGGCGGAAGCCUGAUGCAGCCAUGUCGCGUGUAUGAAGAAGGCCUUCGGGUUGUAAAGUACUUUCAGCGGGGAGGCGUUACCCGCAGAAGAAGCACCGGCUAACUCCGUGCCAGCCGCCGCGGUAAUAC